CAGUCGCCGCGGGAAUACGUAGGGUGCAAGCGUUAAUCGGAAUUACUGGGCGUAAAGCGUGCGCAGGCGGUUAUAUAAGACAGAUGUGAAAUCCCCGGGCUCAACCUGGGAACUGCACUUGUGACUGUAUAGCUAGAGUACGGCAGAGGGGGAUGGAAUUCCGCGUGUAGCAGUGAAAUGCGUAGAUAUGCGGAGGAACACCGAUGGCGAAGGCAAUCCCCUGGGCCUGUACUGACGCUCAUGCACGAAAGCGUGGGGAGCAAACAGGAUUAGAUACCCGUGUAGUCCCUGUCUCUUAUAC
rnacentral:rRNA from 1 species